CCUCUUGUGGCGUAGGAGUAACGCGCCCUAUUUAGAGAUCAGGGUGUCGUGAGUUCGAUUCUCAUCGAGAAGA
rfam:Aedes aegypti strain Liverpool supercont1.2012 genomic scaffold, whole genome shotgun sequence.